rnacentral:rRNA from 1 species
UACAGGGGGGGCAAGCGUUGUUCGGAAUUACUGGGCGUAAAGGGUUCGUAGGUGGCCAACUAAGUCGGACGUGAAAUCCCUCAGCUUAACUGGGGAACUGCGUCCGAUACUGGAUGGCUUGAGUGCAGGAGAGGAAUGCGGAAUUCCAGGUGUAGCGGUGAAAUGCGUAGAUAUCUGGAGGAACACCGGUGGCGAAGGCGGCAUUCUGGACUGCAACUGACACUGAGGAACGAAAGCCAGGGGAGCGAACGGG